AGGCGGUUAGUGAGGUAAGCGCUAGCAUGUAACUCAAGGGAUAUGAUAACAUAAUGACAUGUCCAAAAACCAGUCAAAACCAUAAUGUACACAUUUAUAUACAUAUAUAUAAGUUUUCAUGAUAGGGAACAAGGUUAAAGCAUGAGGUUAUCAUUAACUUGGACUGUGUAGCUCUAACCAUUCUAAAAACACCUAUGAGCUAUAUGGGUCUGGAUCACCCCACUGAAAGGGCCCUAGUGUAUGUUAUCCACAUGAGCCAGAGAAUUCUAAGGAAAGCCCAGGGAAUCUAUGACCCUACUCUAAUCAUACGUAUAUAUAUAUAUAUAUAUCAAAUAAGAACUAUGCACACAGUCAUGAAGGCCCCCACACGGAAAAUAUGGUUUCUAGUAUAGGUCGCCCCUAAGGCCUCC
rnacentral:lncRNA from 1 species